rnacentral:lncRNA from 1 species
GUGCUUCACGUGAAUUAUUUCAUUCAUUCCUCCUGGCAGCUUGAUUACUAUUACCCCACUUUAGGGAUCGACCCUACGCCGCGGCUAUUGCUGGCCGAGCUGGGCUUCGAACUAGACUGUCUGGCUCCAAACUACUCAGCGCUGGCCACAUUUCCCUUCGGUUCCCCACCGCAGAGCCGCAGCGAUCAGGAUCCCAUUUACAAAGGAGAAAAAUGAGGCCCGGAGAGAGUAAGCUCUGUCAGGCACUGAGCGAAAUGUUUUAGUUCCUCAGCUCAUUUCCUUUCCUCAAGCUCUCUAAGAGGCGGAAUUCACGGGCCAGUAGCGAAGGAGGAAAGAGAACGAGAUAAGAGAGGGUUCGUUGGCGGUGGCUGCGCAGGUCGAAAUGGCAGCGUGAUGGAGGCACGGCCAGGUUUGGCUCCUACUGCUGUGUCGUCCCAGCUUCGUGGCCCUUGGAAGCAGCGUUGACCCAUCACGGCAACCAGACCCGGCACCCACCCCGGAAACGGAGAACUGGGAGAAGAGAAAUUACAGCCAAAUUCUGAAAGCGCGGCGCGGGUCCCCGCCUCCACAUUGUCAUUGUCGGAUCCCAGCCCCAUGCCGCGGCGCACCCUGCUCCACACUGCUCGUCCUGCCUGGCGUCUGCCCUGCUGGCUGCUGUCGCCACGCCGGGGGACUUUUCCCGCACCCAAUCUUCUGGAGCCCACAC